UGGCAGCCAAAGGCUUCACCCAGCUCCCACAUAGCCCGCAGCCCAAAAGGCUGGUCUCACUUCCACAGUGCCCCCUUAACAGUACCAAGUUUAUUUCCAGAUAGCCAGUAAGCAGGGCUGAGAAUUUGCCCCAGGUUACAAGCCUCCCAGCUUAGAAAGCAAGCUGACUCACAGUUCCUCAGCUGUCCCAGGGAGCCUGCAGCAGCAGUCCACCUCCUUCAAAUGAUCUGUGGAUCCUCUUCACUUUCCUGAGUCUCGCUCCAUCCAUCACCCAGGCUGGAGUGCGGUGGUGCAAUCUCGACUCACUGCAACCUCCACCUCCCUGGUUCAAGCAAUUCUCCUGCCUCAGCCUCUCAAGUAGCUGGGA
rnacentral:lncRNA from 1 species